UACAGAGGGGGCAAGCGUUAUUCGGAAUUAUUGGGCGUAAAGGGCGCGUAGGCGGCCUGGCAAGUGGAAGGUGAAAUCCCUCGGCUUAACCGAGGAACUGCCCUCCAAACUGCUUGGCUUGAGUCCGGGAGAGGUGAGUGGAAUUCCCAGUGUAGCGGUGAAAUGCGUAGAUAUUGGGAGGAACACCAGUGGCGAAGGCGGCUCACUGGACCGGAACUGACGCUGAGGCGCGGAAGCGUGGGGAGCAAACGGG
rnacentral:rRNA from 1 species